AUUUGUGACAAAAAGUUAAUUAGAUACACUUGAGAAAUUGUCAAUUAUGGAAAUACUGUUGGAGUAUCACACAUAUAUAUAUAAAUAUACAUGUUAUUAAGUAUAAGUGUAUGUUAGAUGAAAAUAUAUUGCUAAAAGAACAUAAAUUAAUACAUGUUUAUCUAUAAUCAUUAACCAUUUAGUUUUAUACCAGUGGUUAUGUCAUACCAUUGCACAUUAUUCCACACUUAUAACAUGUGUUUUUCUUCUGAACUAGACUAACUCGUUAUUAUAUCUAUCAUUUUACAAUAGAAAUUGAAACAUGUUUGUAGGUGUUCACAUAGUUUCCAUUAAAACAGAAAAGGUCAAUGGGUCAAAAAAUUGUGUCAUCCCUUUUUAUGAAACCAUGAACUUUUAAUUUCAUGUUUUGAAUACCCAAAAUUUGACAUUAAAAGAUUUAUGUUCAUGUAAGAACAUUUGAAAUUUACCUAAUUUGAACUAUUCUGGAACAAGAAAACAAAAAAAUAAAAGCAAUUAUUUCAAAUGUGUAAAAAA
rnacentral:lncRNA from 1 species